GGCAUCAUAGGGGGUGAAGCUAGGCAGGCAAGCACAUGUGGGGUAAUGUGACCAAGCACAUGUAGAUACAUGUGACCAUGCAACAUCAUAGGGGAGGGGCUGUAAAGCCGGAAGCUGAUUGGCUGAGACAGGCUAAUAAAUGAUGUUAAUGAGCAGACCUUGCAAGAGGAACCAGCAGACAACCAGCAGGUUGAACUUGUAGUGGGUUUGGGAUCCGUAAGAAGAACAGAAGCUCCGAGACUCGUCUGAAGAAAAGAAGCUAUCUGAAGAACAUCUGGAAAGAAAAGGGGUUUAGCCAGGUUUUGGGUAGAGUCUUGUAAGGCUUUGGGUGGGGGUUACUUUCUGAAAAGACAUUGCCUGCAAGGAGCCUCAAGCAACAGUAGCAGUAGCAGGAGAAUCCUGAGGUUGCCCUGACAACAGCUGCUAUAGCAACCAAACCAACAGUCUUCAUUAGCAUCAGCUCUGAAACUGCUGCUGGAGGGCAACCGCUGCUGCCUCAAUCACCCGCCAGAACCAGCUCUGACAGCUUCCUGAGGGAAGACAAUGUUCCUGACAACAUCUCCAAUUUUAGACAGAACAGAAGGACCUUUGACAGUUCAGUGAUACUGAAGAACAGAAUACUGCAGAGCAACUCAGUCAGCUGGAGUCUGUUUUGGCAUGAGCCACAAAGAAAACAGCUUGACUUUCAGAUCCCAGGAAUGUUCUGGACCUUUGUAGAAUCUCAUGGAACCUUCCAGACUUUCCUUGACCCUUCUAGAAUGUUGUCAACCAUGUCCUCGUGGAUAUAUAAGGGGCGAGACAUCACCAGUCAGUCAGUGAGAUAUAAGAACGAAGUGGGAGCCCAGCUGUGAUAUUGUUAACCUUGUGUUAUUGUUUUAUUGUGUAAUUGUGAAAGUAUACUUGUGUUUUAGGACUAAUAAAGGUCAUAUUUAAUGAGA